GAUGAACGCUGGCGGCGUGCCUAAUACAUGCAAGUCGAGCGAACAGACGAGGAGCUUGCUCCUCUGACGUUAGCGGCGGACGGGUGAGUAACACGUGGAUAACCUACCUAUAAGACUGGGAUAACUUCGGGAAACCGGAGCUAAUACCGGAUAAUAUAUUGAACCGCAUGGUUCAAUAGUGAAAGACGGUUUUGCUGUCACUUAUAGAUGUAUCCGCGCCGCAUUAGCUAGUUGGUAAGGUAACGGCUUACCAAGGCAACGAUGCGUAGCCGACCUGAGAGGGUGAUCGGCCACACUGGAACUGAGACACGGUCCAGACUCCUACGGGAGGCAGCAGUAGGGAAUCUUCCGCAAAGGGCGAAAGCUUGACGGAGCAACGCCGCGUGAGUGAUGAAGGUCUUCGGAUCGUAAAACUCUGUUAUUAGGGAAGAACAAAUGUGUAAGUAACUAUGCACGUCUUGACGGUACCUAAUCAGAAAGCCACGGCUAACUACGUG
rnacentral:rRNA from 1 species